GUUAGAAAUAUAGCUUAUAAUUAGCAAGUAUGCAUAACUAGUAUUACCCAAACAAACCAUUUUUUAUUUUAGUAUAGGUGAUAGAAAUAAUUAUUAACGCAAUAGAUAAAGUACUGUAAAGGAAAAAUGAAAUAAAAGUGAAAUAAUUAUAAAGCAUAAAUAAGCAUAGAUUAAUUCUUUUACCUUUUGCAUCAUGGUCUAUCAAGUCCAACCUGGCAAAAAGAACUUAAGUCAGACACCCCGAAACUAGACGAGCUACUCCAGAGCAGCAAUAAUAGAGCAAACCCUUCUCUGUGGCAAAAGAGUGGGAUGACUUUCGAGUAGAGGUGAUAAGCCUAUCGAGCCUAG
rnacentral:rRNA from 1 species